UACGGAGGAUGCAAGCGUUAUCCGGAAUGAUUGGGCAUAAAGCGUCCGCAGGUGGCUAUGUAAGUCUGCUGUUAAAGAGUCUAGCUCAACUAGAUAAGAGCAGUGGAAACUACAAGGCUAGAGUACGUUCGGGGCAGAGGGAAUUCCUGGUGUAGCGGUGAAAUGCGUAGAGAUCAGGAAGAACACCAGUGGCGAAGGCGCUCUGCUAGGCCGUAACUGACACUGAGGGACGAAAGCUAGGGGAGCGAAUGGG
rnacentral:rRNA from 1 species